rnacentral:lncRNA from 1 species
CAGACCAGGAGAAAAGGGAAUUCUGGGGAGGAGCGGACUAGUGGUAAUGGUGUAACAUGUUUCUCUGGCCACUCUGGCUUGCGUGCAGGAAAUAGGAGAACAGUAACAGCCACGGUGUCUCUCUUGUUCUGUCCUGUGCACUACAGGGGACCUCUGAUCUCGCUCAAGUUCCUGGGUAAUCCUGGAAGAACCCGGGGACCACCAUAUGUACACCAAGAUCUAGUCUUCUUGACCAACACCAUUUUCUUUCUUGUUUACUCUGGUUGCACUGGUACUGUCCCCUCAUUGCUGGCAACCCCAGAAGUGCCAUCUAUGACCUUGAAAUCUGCUGAGGGCCCACACUUGCUGGAACAGCCCACACCCAAUUUGAAUUCAACAAUACACUCGCUAACCAGAGAGAAAAGCCCCGACUGAAUGACAAACACUUCCUUGUGCCAAAAAAAGAAAAGCGUGCGCAUGUUUCCAGCAAAACCCACUUGCUGUUUACACUUGGGAAGCAUCCUAUCAUUUGGGAACAGCUUUGCUCUGAAACCUUUCCCCUCGGCCCCUUUCUCCACUCCUUUCCACUCUAUUUUUCUGUUCGCUUUCUAAAUGGGGGCAGGGCAGGGCAGUGGCAGGGAGGGGAGAAGGAAUGAAAGAAGAAACCACAACCCAGAACAGGCUGCUUCCAGUAAAACUAUCUUCACGGUCAUGAUCUGUCUUUCAGGGAAAAAAGUCACCAUUUUGUGCAAAUGCAAUCUUUGCUUUGCCCCACGCCAGACUGUGAAGAGCAAUUUCAGGUGUGAGUAAACCUUUGCAAUGCUUCACAACAAUGGCCUUUGCUUCAGGCUGCCACCCAACAAUGUGACUGGGACUCUAACUAUCGCCCCCACACCCCUCUCCCCUUGGCCCGGGGAUCAGGGUGCUCUCCUCACCCACCUGUUUUUCUGGUAAGGCCCUUGUGAGCUGGCCUCACUCUCCCUUCUCUGAUAGCCCUCUUAACAAGGACCGUGGGCUGGAGGACAUUUGAGGGGCCUCACACCACAGCUGGUAAAGCUC